GACGAACGCUGGCGGCGUGCCUAAUACAUGCAAGUUGAGCGCUGAAGUGUGGGACUUGUACCAAAUGGAUGAGCAGCGAACGGGGGAGUAAAGCGUGGGGAAUCUGCCUUUGAGCGGGGGACAACAUGUGGAAACGAAUGCUAAUACCGCAUAAACACUUUAAACACAAGUUUUAAGUUUGAAAGAUGCAAUUGCAUCACUCAAAGAUGAUCCCGCGUUGUAUUAGCUAGUUGGUGGGGUAAAGGCUCACCAAGGCGAUGAUACAUAGACGACCUGAGAGGGUGGUCCGCCACAUUGGGACUGGGACACGGCCCAAACUCCCACGGGAGGGAGCCGGAGGGGAUCUUUGGGAAUUGGCGGAAGGCUGAACGGACAACGCCGGGGGGGGGGAUGAGGGUUUCGGGACGGAAAACUCUGUUUGUAGGGGAGGACGUUGUAGCGGGGUAAAAGCUCAUCAAGUGACGGUACCUACCCAGAAAGGCACGGCUAACUACGUG
rnacentral:rRNA from 1 species